CAGGUAUCACCAAGUGAACCAAUUGAGAGUAUCAUGACACCAUUAAAAGAAGCUCAACCACUACUUGGUACCUUGGAAUUGAAGAAAGUGGUCAUGCGCUUNNNNNNGUGCCAAUUGUGGACGAAUGGGGUUGUUGCGUUGGACUAUUGCAUCGUGAAGACUGCUUUGAGUUGAAUGCCACACUUACGACAAUGAUGAGAAGCCCACCUCCUUGUGUUACAACCACAACAUCUAUUGGCCAUGUGGUUGAUCUAAUUUUGGAAAAGAAACAUAGAAUGGUAAUAGUUAUAAAAUACAGCAACUUACAUGGUACUACAUACGGCGC
rnacentral:misc_RNA from 1 species